GUUAACGCUGGCGGCGUGCCUAACACAUGCAAGUCGAGCGAAGAGUGGCGGAAUAUUGCGCUCUUAGCGGCAGACUGGUGAGUAACACGUAAACAACCUACCCUUAAGAGGGAGACAACCUGGCGAAAGUCGGGCUAAUAUCCCAUAUUAUCCGGGUCCGGCAUCGGAUUCGGAUGAAAGGCUCGCAAGAGUCGCUUGAGGAGGGGUUUGCGGCCUAUCAGCUUGUUGGCGGUGUAAAAGACCACCAAGGCUAUGACGGGUAGCCGAUCUAAAAGGAUGAACGGCCACAAGGGCACUGAGACACGGGCCCUACUCCUACGGGAGGCAGCAGUGGGGAAUUUUGGACAAUGGGCGAAAGCCUGAUCCAGCGACGCCGCGUGGAGGACGACGGUCUUCGGAUUGUAAACUCCUUUUGCAGGGGACGAAAAAAAUGACGGUACUCUGCGAAUAAGCAACGGCUAACUACGU
rnacentral:rRNA from 1 species